AUGCACGGCGUGGGCCUCGCAGCGCAGGCCUGCACUGGGGCCUGCGUGACUGUCGGACGCGGGUCUCCCGGCCCAAGACCCUCUGCAGGCGUGACUGUCAUGUUCCCGUGAGGAAACCCAGGUCCAGGAGGCCCAGCGGCUCGUCCAAGUGCGUGGAGGCUGGGAAGCCCUGUGCUCAGCCCUCGGCUCCCUCCCACCGCCGGGCCCUGGCCGCCCGGAGCCGCACCCCAGGAGAGGUCUCCAUGAGGCCAAGAGGACUGGGGCGUGAGUGACCGCCCAAGGUCACCAGCUGGGCCCACACUCCUGACUGUCCCCAGUCCCAGCAGGCCGCCGGGCCGAUGCUACCAAGACUACGGAGGCCUCCGAGAGGCAAAAGUCCACCGAUGGCUCCGCCUCUGGAGCCCUGCCGGCCUGCUGUCAGCCCCACCGCCACCCGCUGUCCAGCUCCCAAGACCAGCCACCCUCACCCUGAGGCCCAGCCAGCAGGCUGCACCCCCUCCAGGCCCUCGGCUCCCUGGUGCUCGAGGGUGGGCAGAGGCUGAGGCGGGUCUGGCCCAGGGCUGCUACGUGGAGAGGGGCCCACAGAUCUAGAGUGGCGGCUGGUCACUGGCUGGGUCGUGUGCCGGCGGGGUCAGGAUCAGCCGGGCCUGCAGCCCACUCUGCUGUUGAGGGACUUGGCCCGGGGAGUGGUGUGGAGCGCUCCCCGACCCCCACCCCCCGAGGCUCCAGGGUCCCAGCGGGUCAACUCAGGAACUCACUCUGGCUGCUCAGACCGCAGAGGGACCAGUUUCCAGGGGUCCGUGCCCACAGGUCCUGCUUGGCUAACCCAGGAGGUCUUCAGGCCACUCUGCCCCACGGCCACCUGCCCGCCCCCUGGUGGCACCUCAGCACAGCCUGGAGGCAGGAGCAGGCACUGACCCUCUGGCCAGGCUGGUCCCCACCCGUCUUCCUGUCCCCAAGCCCCAACCCGGGUGCCCUGCACCCAAGGACACCCCGUUCCCCGAGUAAUAAAAGCCACAACCUGCAA